rnacentral:rRNA from 1 species
GUGCGCAGCUAUAAUGCAAGUCGAGCGGACAGAUGGGAGCUUGCUCCCUGAUGUUAGCGGCGGACGGGUGAGUAACACGUGGGUAACCUGCCUGUAAGACUGGGAUAACUCCGGGAAACCGGGGCUAAUACCGGAUGGUUGUCUGAACCGCAUGGUUCAGACAUAAAAGGUGGCUUCGGCUACCACUUACAGAUGGACCCGCGGCGCAUUAGCUAGUUGGUGAGGUAACGGCUCACCAAGGCGACGAUGCGUAGCCGACCUGAGAGGGUGAUCGGCCACACUGGGACUGAGACACGGCCCAGACUCCUACGGGAGGCAGCAGUAGGGAAUCUUCCGCAAUGGACGAAAGUCUGACGGAGCAACGCCGCGUGAGUGAUGAAGGUUUUCGGAUCGUAAAGCUCUGUUGUUAGGGAAGAACAAGUGCCGUUCAAAUAGGGCGGCACCUUGACGGUACCUAACCAGAAAGCCACGGCUAACUACGUGCCAGCAGCCGCGGUAAUACGUAGGUGGCAAGCGUUGUCCGGAAUUAUUGGGCGUAAAGGGCUCGCAGGCGGUUUCUUAAGUCUGAUGUGAAAGCCCCCGGCUCAACCGGGGAGGGUCAUUGGAAACUGGGGAACUUGAGUGCAGAAGAGGAGAGUGGAAUUCCACGUGUAGCGGUGAAAUGCGUAGAGAUGUGGAGGAACACCAGUGGCGAAGGCGACUCUCUGGUCUGUAACUGACGCUGAGGAGCGAAAGCGUGGGGAGCGAACAGGAUUAGAUACCCUGGUAGUCCACGCCGUAAACGAUGAGUGCUAAGUGUUAGGGGGUUUCCGCCCCUUAGUGCUGCAGCUAACGCAUUAAGCACUCCGCCUGGGGAGUACGGUCGCAAGACUGAAACUCAAAGGAAUUGACGGGGGCCCGCACAAGCGGUGGAACAUGUGGUUUAAUUCGAAGCAACGCGAAGAACCU